rnacentral:tRNA from 2 species
GGUCGCGUAGCUCAGUUGGUUAGAGCACAGCAUUCACAUUGCUGGGGUCACAGGUUCGAGUCCUGCCGCGACCACCA